rfam:Hordeum vulgare subsp. vulgare, WGS project CAJW01000000 data, contig: morex_contig_2553073
UAUAUACUACCUCCGUUCGAAAAUACUUGUCAUAAGAAUGGAUGUAUCUAGAUGUAUUUUAGAUCUAGAUAUAUUCUUUUUUAUUCAAUUAUGUGAUAAGUAAUUCUGAACGGAGGGAGUAAUUU